UGGGGAAUAUUGGACAAUGGGCGGAAGCCUGAUCCAGCAACGCCGCGUGAGGGAUGACGGCCUUCGGGUUGUAAACCUCUUUCAGUACCGACGAAGCGAAAGUGACGGUAGGUACAGAAGAAGGACCGGCCAACUACGUGCCAGCAGCCGCGGUAAUACGUAGGGUCCGAGCGUUGUCCGGAAUUAUUGGGCGUAAAGGGCUCGUAGGCGGUUUGUCGCGUCGGGAGUGAAAACAGCGGGCUUAACUCGUUGCUUGCUUUCGAUACGGGCAGACUAGAGGUAUGCAGGGGAGAAUGGAAUUCCUGGUGUAGCGGUGAAAUGCGCAGAUAUCAGGAGGAACACCGGUGGCGAAGGCGGUUCUCUGGGCAUUACCUGACGCUGAGGAGCGAAAGUGUGGGGAGCGAACAGGAUUAGAUACCCUGGUAGUCCACACCGUAAACGUUGGGGCGNUAGGUGUGGGGUCCUUUCCACGGAUUCCGUGCCGUAGCUAACGCAUUAAGC
rnacentral:rRNA from 1 species